CAAAUUCUAACCACAGUCAGGACCUGAACAUGAGUAUUGGGAAGUGGAGUCAUUGAAACUGCUUUAGAUCCCAAAUGUUUAUUCUGGAAAGGACAUCCUUCUGCUGAGUUCACCGUCUCUGACAAUGGCAUUUUUGGAGCUCUGUCUGAAGAUAUCUCAAGCUGCAAGGACACUUCUUAUUUCUUGCUGUGUCUGUGUGUUCUUAUUGUAACUUUGAUCAGUGUUCGACCAAAGACAUGGCCAACACAUCCAACAAGGAAGAAGGUGUCCAAAGAGAUGCCCCGUGUGGGACUUUCUGAGGACUGUUGAAGGUGAUACCCUGUUUCUCUCGCCAUGCUAUGAAGAGAGGGCUGACUGAGUUGGUAAACCGUUAAACUGGAGCUAUCAUGUAUCGCCGAGGACACCACCAAAGGAUCGGGGCCUCCAGGGCAGAACGCCAGGAGAGCAUCAGAUCCGAGUUCCAAGAAGGAGUCUGCUCCCAUAAUUACCGACACCUUCAGUGCUGGAGCCUCAGGGAGCCUUCUCCUUGUGAGCAGGAGUAGCAGUGAUCCUCUUCUUGGAGUGCAGUGCUGUGGGGAAGCAUUGGAAACAAGACUGUUGGGAGCCUCGGGAUCGCUUUGGGAAAAGACUCUUUCUGCCAGAGGGUUAAACCUCUCAUGUAAGGGACAUCUGCCAGUAAGAAGGAACUAAGUUCUGCGCAGACAUAAAAAUAAUUGAAACCAGCUACCCCAGGCCAUGCUAAGUGCUUUCCAUGUGUUAGCCCUUGAAUGUUAACAGGAGCCCUAGGAGACAGGACCACCACUGCCCCAUUUCACAUUUGAAGACACUGAGGAAGCGGGACAAAGCAAUUUGCCUGAAGCUGCCCACAAUUUAGGGGAAACCCAGGAUUCCAAUUACAGUUCAGACUCUACAAUACACCAGUGGGCUCAGAAUGGUUUUUAUAUUUUAAAUGGUUGACAAAAAUUAAGAGAGGAUGAUUUCAUGGCACAUGAGAAUUAUAUGAAAUUUGAUUUUUGGUAUUCACAAAUACAGCUUUAUCA